GGGGGGGGGGAUUGCGACGGAACGGGUGGUCUCAGGCUGGCGCGGCCAUGGCUCCGUGGCAAAUGGCGACCGGGUGUGGUGCACGGUAACAACUGGCACCAAGCUGAGGCUGUGCGUGAAUUGGGUAUUCAAUGCUGCAGAGAAAAUCUUCACGGUGCUGCCUGCGUGUCUCGGAGGAUUGUACUACUCCAUAGCGACUUGCAAUCGGAGAUGUUACUGCAUGAAUUGCAGAGACGAACUGGCGAGCAGCAAAGAUGGCGAGAAAAGAAAGGGCCAAGUUUCAAGUGUGUGAGCUGCUACGAGCUGCAGAGUCAAGGUGGUUAAUGCCUCGAUGUGCGCUUGAAAAUUGCGAGAGUUUUCGACGGCAGCAGACGAGGUUAUUUAGGGGUUCUGGAGGUUGCCGGACUUAAAGGGGAUAGCGUUGGGAGAUGGCCAGUCCGGUGAGGUGAUGGAUGGAGGGCAGGGCAGGGCGGCGAGCCGGGGCCGGUGGCGAGGAAAGUACAAAAACGGCUCGUUAGCACGGUGGGGAGCCGAGGAUACGGCGGCAGUGGUGUAGCCUGAGAUGAGAGGUGGAGGAUGGCGUGGGAGGCUCAGCUCUAAUCGAAGAAAGAGAGAAAGAAGAAGUUGCAGUGUUUAAAGUUAAAAAAAUACCUUUAGACCGUUUGAUCAAGAUCGGAUAGCUGCAGUUGAUCAACGGAAAGAAAACUUCUUUUCAGUCGCAUGUACUUUAGGAACCCUUAUUUCAGACGUCGGAGGCCAUCAAAGUUAACUAGACCAGGGCACGGUCACGUAGCGAACUUUGGAGGCAAAAUUAAGGCGCCACAUGAGCGCUCUGCAGAAAAUCUCAUCCAAGUUUCGCCUGCUACAAGUUCCGGACAAGUAAUCCAAGUUGAGCCGGCAAGAUUAGCGAUACGAAUACGAUUGUACUCCGAUGGGGACCCUGUACUCGGCGUGAUAUUUUGCUAUUUGCUACGUGGAGGUCCAGUGGCUUCAAGCAAGAGGAAAGAUUCCGGUAGGUAAAGCCACUACAGAUCUGCUGCUUUCACGAGAUUAGGAGGACCGUAAACGAAUUGUUGAUUAUCGUGACAAAGUCGGUUUUAUUGAUUGUCUUAUGGUUGACGCACGGUUCUAUAUAACCGUAUAACGUGUUUGAGGCA